rnacentral:rRNA from 1 species
GACGAACGCUGGCGGCGUGCCUAAUACAUGCAAGUCGAGCGAAUCGAUGGGAGCUUGCUCCCUGAGAUUAGCGGCGGACGGGUGAGUAACACGUGGGUAACCUGCCUGUAAGGCUGGGAUAACUUCGGGAAACCGGAGCUAAUACCGGAUACUUUCUUUUCUCGCAUGAGGGAAGAUGGAAAGAUGGUUCUGCUAUCACUUACAGAUGGACCCGCGGCGCAUUAGCUAGUUGGUGAGGUAACGGCUCACCAAGGCAACGAUGCGUAGCCGACCUGAGAGGGUGAUCGGCCAAACUGGGACUGAGACCCGGCCCAGACUCCUACGGGAGGCAGCAGUAGGGAAUCUUCCGCAAUGGACGAGAGUCUGACGGAGCAACACCGCGUGAGCGAAGAAGGCCUUCGGGUCGUAAAACUCUGUUGUUAGGGAAGAACAAGUACGAGAGUAACUGCUCGUACCUUGACGGUACCUAACCAGAAAGCCACGGCUAACUACGUGCCAGCCGCCGCCGUAACAC